GAUGAAGAACGCAGCGAAAUGCGAUAAGUAAUGUGAAUUGCAGAAUUCAGUGAAUCAUCGAAUCUUUGAACGCACAUUGCGCCCGCCAGUAUUCUGGCGGGCAUGCCUGUCUGAGCGUCAUUUCAACCCUCAUGCCCCUAGGGCGUGGUGUUGGGGAUCGGCCAAAGCCCGCGAGGGACGGCCGGCCCCUAAAUCUAGUGGCGGACCCGUCGUGGCCUCCUCUGCGAAGUAGUGAUAUUCCGCAUCGGAGAGCGACGAGCCCCUGCCGUUAAACCCCCAACUUUCCAAGGUUGACCUCAGAUCAGGUAGGAAUACCCGCUGAACUUAAGCAUACAAUAAGCGGAGGA
rnacentral:misc_RNA from 1 species